CUUUAGCUUCACAAAAACCU
rnacentral:snRNA from 1 species